rnacentral:lncRNA from 1 species
GGCUGAUUGAUAUAGCAAAACAACAAAGACAGGCUUGAAAAAAGACAGAUGGGGCAAAUGUGGAAGGUGGCGGCCACUUUAAAUGACAGCUCCGCAACGGACAAAAACGGGCUCUCCUCAUUAUGUUCAUGGAACACCAAAUAUGAAGAAAUCAAGCUGCUUUAGGACUGAGACCCUUAUGGCAGCUCAUAUUGCAUUGGGAAAAAAUGUUAACAUUAAUAAGUUACAUAAGAAAAAUGUCCAAGAUCAACACAUUCAAGGCCAUUAUAAAUACUAGCAUAUACAUUCAGAAAUGCAAUUACACCAUCAGCAUGAACACGCAGGAAAAGAAAAUUCCUAUUUGCAUGGCUGUGAGGUUUCUUCUGGUUGCCAGCAAUUUCCAGAGUGUAUUGAAAUUUUCAAAUUAACUGAGGACAUUUUAGUCAAUUUUAUCUCUCAAUGCUUUUGUGUCACUUUUUCUUCAAGGUCUGUGCAUUUUGCUGAUUGAAAUGCUCAAACAUUUAUUCAUUUAUUCAUCUCAAAGGCACAGAUCAUCAUUAUGACUUUUUUUUUUUGAAAAAAUAGUGUCAGAACUUUCUAAUGUUCUUUUCUGUCUCUUUUCUCCAAAUACUUUCCCUCUUCAUAACCCUCUUUCUCCCCAGGGGACUUUCUAUUGCUUCUAUAGGGAAUUUUUUCAACGUCUGGUCUUUAAAAAGAAUUCCUCUUUAAUCCUAAAGCAUUCUAUGGAGAAAUCAGUUUCCAGAAGUUAGAAUAAAAUUCCAUGUGCAUGCCUGGGUCUGGGACAGGGUGCGGGAAAAGAAGAAAUGUUGGUAUGUAAUCUUAAAAUUCAAAUGCUG